rnacentral:rRNA from 1 species
ACUCAAUAGAUACCCGGGUAGUCCAUGCCGUAAACGUUGGGAACUAGGUGUGGGUCUCAUUCCACGAGAUCCGUGCCGCAGCUAACGCAUUAAGUUCCCCGCCUGGGGAGUACGGCCGCAAGGCUAAAACUCAAAGGAAUUGACGGGGGCCCGCACAAGCGGCGGAGCAUGCGGAUUAAUUCGAUGCAACGCGAAGAACCUUACCAAGGCUUGACAUACACCGGAAUCACUCAGAGAUGGGUGCGUCUUCGGACUGGUGUACAGGUGGUGCAUGGUUGUCGUCAGCUCGUGUCGUGAGAUGUUGGGUUAAGUCCCGCAACGAGCGCAACCCUCGUUCUAUGUUGCCAGCACGUCAUGGUGGGGACUCAUAGGAGACUGCCGGGGUCAACUCGGAGGAAGGUGGGAUGACGUCAAAUCAUCAUGCCCCUUAUGUCUUGGGCUUCACGCAUGCUACAAUGGCCGGUACAAAGGGCUGCGAAACCGCGAGGUUGGAGCGAAUCCCAAAAAACCGGGUCUCAGUUCGGAUUGGGGU